AUUGAACGCUGGCGGCAGGCCUAACACAUGCAAGUCGAGCGGAUGAGAGGAGCUUGCUCCUUGAUUUAGCGGCGGACGGGUGAGUAAUGCCUAGGAAUCUGCCUGGUAGUGGGGGAUAACGUUCCGAAAGGAACGCUAAUACCGCAUACGUCCUACGGGAGAAAGCAGGGGACCUUCGGGCCUUGCGCUAUCAGAUGAGCCUAGGUCGGAUUAGCUAGUUGGUGAGGUAAUGGCUCACCAAGGCGACGAUCCGUAACUGGUCUGAGAGGAUGAUCAGUCACACUGGAACUGAGACACGGUCCAGACUCCUACGGGAGGCAGCAGUGGGGAAUAUUGGACAAAGGGCGAAAGCCUGAUCCAGCCAUGCCGCGUGUGUGAAGAAGGUCUUCGGAUUGUAAAGCACUUUAAGUUGGGAGGAAGGGCAGUAAGCUAAUACCUUGCUGUUUUGACGUUACCGACAGAAUAAGCACCGGCUAACUUCGUG
rnacentral:rRNA from 1 species